CUGCGCGGAAGAUGUAACGGGGCUAAACCAUGCACCGAAGCUGCGGCAGCGACACUGUGUGUUGUUGGGUAGGGGAGCGUUCUGUAAGCCUGUGAAGGUGGCCUGUGAGGGUUGCUGGAGGUAUCAGAAGUGCGAAUGCUGACAUAAGUAACGAUAAAGCGGGUGAAAAGCCCGCUCGCCGGAAGACCAAGGGUUCCUGUCCAACGUUAAUCGGGGCAGGGUGAGUCGACCCCUAAGGCGAGGCCGAAAGGCGUAGUCGAUGGGAAACGGGUUAAUAUUCCCGUACUUGGUGUUACUGCGAAGGGGGGACGGAGAAGGCUAUGUUGGCCGGGCGACGGUUGUCCCGGUUUAAGCGUGUAGGUGUGUGUUCCAGGUAAAUCCGGUUCACUUUAACACUGAGGCGUGAUGACGAGGCACUACGGUGCUGAAGCAACAAAUGCCCUGCUUCCAGGAAAAGCCUCUAAGCAUCAGGUAACAUCAAAUCGUACCCCAAACCGACACAGGUGGUCAGGUAGAGAAUACCAAGGCGCUUGAGAGAACUCGGGUGAAGGAACUAGGCAAAAUGGUGCCGUAACUUCGGGAGAAGGCACGCUGACACGUAGGUGAAGUGAUUUACUCAUGGAGCUGAAGUCAGUCGAAGAUACCAGCUGGCUGCAACUGUUUAUUAAAAACACAGCACUGUGCAAACACGAAAGUGGACGUAUACGGUGUGACGCCUGCCCGGUGCCGGAAGGUUAAUUGAUGGGGUCAGCGCAAGCGAAGCUCCUGAUCGAAGCCCCGGUAAACGGCGGCCGUAACUAUAACGGUCCUAAGGUAGCGAAAUUCCUUGUCGGGUAAGUUCCGACCUGCACGAAUGGCGUAAUGAUGGCCAGGCUGUCUCCACCCGAGACUCAGUGAAAUUGAACUCGCUGUGAAGAUGCAGUGUACCCGCGGCAAGACGGAAAGACCCCGUGAACCUUUACUAUAGCUUGACACUGAACAUUGAGCCUUGAUGUGUAGGAUAGGUGGGAGGCUUUGAAGCGUGGACGCCAGUCUGCGUGGAGCCGACCUUGAAAUACCACCCUUUAAUGUUUGAUGUUCUAACGUGGACCCGUGAUCCGGGUUGCGGACAGUGUCUGGUGGGUAGUUUGACUGGGGCGGUCUCCUCCUAAAGAGUAACGGAGGAGCACGAAGGUUGGCUAAUCCUGGUCGGACAUCAGGAGGUUAGUGCAAUGGCAUAAGCCAGCUUGACUGCGAGCGUGACGGCGCGAGCAGGUGCGAAAGCAGGUCAUAGUGAUCCGGUGGUUCUGAAUGGAAGGGCCAUCGCUCAACGGAUAAAAGGUACUCCGGGGAUAACAGGCUGAUACCGCCCAAGAGUUCAUAUCGACGGCGGUGUUUGGCACCUCGAUGUCGGCUCAUCACAUCCUGGGGCUGAAGUAGGUCCCAAGGGUAUGGCUGUUCGCCAUUUAAAGUGGUACGCGAGCUGGGUUUAGAACGUCGUGAGACAGUUCGGUCCCUAUCUGCCGUGGGCGCUGGAGAACUGAGGGGGGCUGCUCCUAGUACGAGAGGACCGGAGUGGACGCAUCACUGGUGUUCGGGUUGUCAUGCCAAUGGCACUGCCCGGUAGCUAAAUGCGGAAGAGAUAAGUGCUGAAAGCAUCUAAGCACGAAACUUGCCCCGAG
rnacentral:rRNA from 1 species